CCGUUGGUGAACCAGCGGAGGGAUCAUUAAAGAGUUUAUAAAACUCCCAAACCCAUGUGAACUUACCAUUGUUGCCUCGGCGGGGAAAACCUACCCUGUAGCGACCUACCCGCCGGUGGACCACUAAACUAUUGUUAAUGAUGAAAUCUGAGCGUCUUAUUUUAAUAAGUUAAAACUUUCAACAACGGAUCUCUUGGUUCUGGCAUCGAUGAAGAACGCAGCGAAAUGCGAUAAGUAAUGUGAAUUGCAGAAUUCAGUGAAUCAUCGAAUCUUUGAACGCACAUUGCGCCCAUUAGUAUUCUAGUGGGCAUGCCUGUUCGAGCGUCAUUUCAACCCUUAAGCCUAGCUUAGUGUUGGGAAUCUACAGUCCUGGUCGGUCCUACCCUGUAGCGGCCUACCCUGUAGUUCCCUAAAGUCAACGGCGGAACAGUGGUAUCCUCUGAGCGUAGUAAAUCUUUAUCUCGCUUCUGUCAGGUGCCGCCGCUCCAGCCGCCAAACCCCCUAUAUUUUAAUGGUUGACCUCGGAUCAGGUAGGAAUACCCGCUGAACUUAAGCAU
rnacentral:rRNA from 1 species